rnacentral:lncRNA from 1 species
CCCAUUACACGACCUUCCCUUUACAUGUGAACCAUAACUAGAUUUUUCCGAAAUACUGUUCUCUCUCUACCAGCAGGUACAGAGAGCACCUGGAGCUCAGAUGGGGGCAGGAUAUGACUCUGCACCCUUGUCACACUCCUGGGAAAGGACUCACAGAUCCUGAGCAUAACUUUCCAACCAAAAGGAAUCCCCUUGGAUUUGAAAAUCCCAGAGACUCCUUGGGAAGUAAAGACCCAGGGGAGGCACUCGACCCCAAAGGAAAGCCUUCUACAAACUUUUCUGGGUUCUUAGAAAGAAAGGCCAAGAACUCUGUAAACAGGAUAAGGAACUGAGAUGCAGAGAGCUUCAGAAACUUGCCAAGGCUGGAAGAGAUGGUGCCAGGCAAUCUGACUGGAGACCCUGCAGUCUUCCUUGGGGAUUCCAAGGAUGAGAACAGGAAUACCUGCACUCAGAGAAACCAAGAGCCUGAGGGAUCGAGUCACUCAUACAGUAGAACCAACAAGUUUCAGAUCCAUGCACGUUCCUGGAUGUACAACGAAUCCCUUGUUUCCAACUCUUACAAAAUGUGGUAUAGCUACCACAUCUUACCCACCUCGCGCCCAGAGAUGACAUCAAGUUCCUGGCACCACCACCACGAUUGCCACAGUGCUGGGGUGCACAAUCUUCCACAUCCCUUCCUGGGCCAGUCUGAGAGGGACCUCAGGCUUACAGGAUCUGACCUGAAUUCCAGUUCAUACCCUACUCCCCAAGACUCUCCCAGAUGGUGCGCCAUCAUAUCCUUGCACAACUUGCUGCUAUCCAGCUUCCUAAUUCCUGCCAGUCUGGUCCUUGUAAAGUGAUAUCUCACUAUUUCUUUGGCAUCACUCUGAUUAUUUAGGAAUUGGAGUAACUCUUCAUAUGUUUGGGGGACACUUAAAUUCUCUGGAUUGGCCUCAUCAGACUGAGAGUGGAAGAGGAAAGAUCAGCCCACUUAACCAGCCUGAGCCAUCACCUGCCUGCAGGAAUAGAUGUUCCCCUUGCCUAGUGCUGCAAGUGGAGUAGAGCAGAGAAUACAUCAUGCAAUUCCAGGGGAGGCCAGAUAAAAGCAGCUUAAAGGCGGCCUGGGCUUGUUGAGAACCAGGCAAUGUUAUACAUUUUUCCACCCUUGCCCUUUUGUAUCUGGGUGAACUGGCUUCUCUAAAGGCAAUAUGACUUGCCUAAGGUCGCAUGGCUAGUAAGUGCCAAAGCCAGAUCUAGUCCCAGGACUCCUACGGGAAUCUCUUGUGACACGUGGCCACCUUUAUUUAUCUGUCUGGAGCAAUCAGAGGAGGACCCUUGGAGGAGGAACAAAUUACACUGGAUGCUGAAGGAUGGAGACCUUUCAUGAGGGCAGCCAGAGCACAUGGUAUGAGAAAGAAUUGCCAGGGCCUGGAGCACACCAGUUGUGGGGAUCUCAUCUUCCUGAAGAGAGCCUGUUGGAGGUGUUCUGGGAAGGGAGCAUAAAGAACAGCCGAGGAAAUGCAGAAUGAAUCCUCUGUCCUCGCUCCCUUGCCCCUUCUACAAAGCCCUGGGAGUCUCUCCUCCCUACGGCUCUCUGUGCCCCCAGAUUUAUUUUGCUUUCUUUCGCUAAAUCAAACUUUAUCAGA